CUGCUGACAACCUACUGGGUUAUAGAGCCCUUGGGGCCCUCCUACAUGCCUAACACAGCAGAACUGGACAUGGUUGCUGCAACCCUCAUUUAAAUACCGACAAAACCAGGCCUGCUGGACACUAAGGAGGCAGAAAAAACUACACGGAGCAGUUUGUUGGGUAUACAUGAACCUAAUGCACUUCUUGAGGUCUACUGCUGGAAGUUUUCUUCUUUUGAGUACCUAA
rnacentral:lncRNA from 1 species